rnacentral:rRNA from 1 species
GAACUCUGCUCAGGACGAACGCUGGCGGCGUGCUUAACACAUGCAAGUCGAACGAUGAAGCCCUUCGGGGUGGAUUAGUGGCGAACGGGUGAGUAACACGUGGGCAAUCUGCCCUUCACUCUGGGACAAGCCCUGGAAACGGGGUCUAAUACCGGAUAACACUCUGUCCCGCAUGGGACGGGGUUAAAAGCUCCGGCGGUGAAGGAUGAGCCCGCGGCCUAUCAGCUUGUUGGUGGGGUGAUGGCCUACCAAGGCGACGACGGGUAGCCGGCCUGAGAGGGCGACCGGCCACACUGGGACUGAGACACGGCCCAGACUCCUACGGGAGGCAGCAGUGGGGAAUAUUGCACAAUGGGCGAAAGCCUGAUGCAGCGACGCCGCGUGAGGGAUGACGGCCUUCGGGUUGUAAACCUCUUUCAGCAGGGAAGAAGCGAAAGUGACGGUACCUGCAGAAGAAGCGCCGGCUAACUACGUGCCAGCAGCCGCGGUAAUACGUAGGGCGCAAGCGUUGUCCGGAAUUAUUGGGCGUAAAGAGCUCGUAGGCGGCUUGUUGCGUCGGUUGUGAAAGCCCGGGGCUUAACCCCGGGUCUGCAGUCGAUACGGGCAGGCUAGAGUGUGGUAGGGGAGAUCGGAAUUCCUGGUGUAGCGGUGAAAUGCGCAGAUAUCAGGAGGAACACCGGUGGCGAAGGCGGAUCUCUGGGCCAUUACUGACGCUGAGGAGCGAAAGCGUGGGGAGCGAACAGGAUUAGAUACCCUGGUAGUCCACGCCGUAAACGUUGGGAACUAGGUGUUGGCGACAUUCCACGUCGUCGGUGCCGCAGCUAACGCAUUAAGUCCCC